rnacentral:rRNA from 1 species
AAUCAACGCUGGCGGCGUGCCUAACACAUGCAAGUCGAGCGAGAAAGUGGAGCAAUCCAUGAGUAAAGCGGCGACCGGGUGAGUAACACGUGACUAACCUACCUUCGAGUGGGGAAUAACUCCGGGAAACCGGGGCUAAUACCGCAUAACAUCGAAAGAUCAAAGCAGCAAUGCGCUUGAAGAGGGGGUCGCGGCUGAUUAGCUAGUUGGCGGGGUAAUGGCCCACCAAGGCGAAGAUCGGUAUCCGGCCUGAGAGGGCGCACGGACACACUGGAACUGAAACACGGUCCAGACUCCUACGGGAGGCAGCAGUGGGGAAUUUUGCGCAAUGGGGGAAACCCUGACGCAGCAACGCCGCGUGGAGGAUGAAGCCCCUUGGGCGUAAACUCCUUUCGACCAAGACGAUAAUGACGGUACUGGUGGAAGAAGCACCGGCUAACUCUGUGCCAGCAGCCGCCGCGGUAAG